CGGCUGCGUGGAAGCGGCGCCGAUGACAUAGAUCUCGCGGCUUGGCAGAAGUCGCCGGAGCAGAGGAUGAGGCGACGGUGGAGGAGAUCCGGUCCUCUGAAAUCGGCAGCAUCUAUCUCUCUUUCACUAUCUCUCUUUCUCACGCAGCAUCUACCUCCUCUCUUUCACUACCUCCUUCCUCCCCCAAUUCAGAUCUAUGCAGCUCUGCCCGCCCUAGAAACAGAGUUGGUCCAGCGCCGCCGCCGCGCUUCCCUGCACCGCCUUCGCUUGGUUCCGCUUCGAUGAGAAGAUCUCCGCCAGAAGCUUCAGCGCCAAUUUAAUCAGUCGAAUCUAAGGCAGCGGCGAGGGGUUCUUCUGUCGUCCUUGUUGUCGUGGAGAAAUAAGGAAGUUAAUACAGAGAGAGAAAAUGAGAUUGAAAACUAUUUGGUAUUUCUAAUCAAACACAAUUUCGUUUGGAAUUAAAAGAGAGCAAAGCAUUAAUUACGAAUCAUUCCCAAUGUAGUAUUGCUUUUUUAUUAUUGUUGAGAUUGUUGAUUCAUAAAUUGAAUGUUGAGAUUGUUGAUUCGAAUGAAUUGUUGUAUUUUGAUUGUAGAUUGAAUUGAUUCGAAUAAUAUUUUGUUGUAUUUUGAUUGUUGAUUUAGAGGAAUUGAUGUAUUUUGAUGGUAGAUUGAGUUGUUGUAUUUUGGUGUUGUACAACAAUUUGAUUGAGCUGUAUAAUUAUUUUUUUAAUGUUCUUAAAUUCACAACCAAAUUUAUGAAUUCACAGCUUAAUGUUUUUGAAUUCACGACCACAUCUAUGAAUUCACAACUUAAUAUUCUUGAAUUCACAACCAGAUCUAUUAAUUCACAACUAAAACUCGAAUUCACAAUCAAAAUAAAUUCUAGUUUUAGUUGUCAAUUCAAACUUUAAAAACUCAAAUUCACAACUACUUGAAUUCACAACCAAAAUAAAUUAUAGUUGUGAAUUUUACUGGUUGUCAAUUCCCAACCAAAAAAUUAUUGCUAUGUAUUAAAUUUGUGAAUUUUACUGGUUGUCAAUUCCCAACCAAAAAAUUCUUGCUAUGUAUUAAAUUUUGGUUGUGAAUUCACAACAAAAAUUUUGUUGUGAAUUUGACUUUUGGGUUUAGGUUUAGAUUGGUUUUGGUUUAGUUUUAGGAUUUAUGGUUCAGUUAAUUUUAGUUUGAUCAGUUGUUAAUUCACACUAAGGUUUAGGUUAGGUUUUAGUGUUUAGUUAGUUCAGUUUUGAAUUUAUAGUGUAAAUUCACUAGGAUUUAGGGUUUAGGGUUUAGAUUGGGUUUAGGGUUUAGGGUUUAGAGUGGUUUAGGGUUUAGGGUUUAGGGUUUGGUUAGGUUUUGAAUUCACAAUCAAAAAAUUCUUGUUGUGAAUUCAAUUGUUUAAGGUUCGGGGUUUAUGGUUUAUGGUUUAGAGUGAGUUUAGGGUUUAGAUAGGGUUUAGGGUUUACAGUUUGUGUAAUUAAAUUUUCAUUGUGAAUUCGACUGCUUUUGAAUUCAAAACCAAAAAAUUCUUAUUGCGAAUUAAAUUNCCUCUAUCUCUCUCAAAGCUUCAACUCUCACAAUUUCUAUCUCUCUCAAAUACCCUCUCUCUAUCUCUCUCUCUCUCUCUCUCUCCCACCCCCACCAUCUUCGUCGUCGUUGUCCCAUCGCGCCGCCACUCAGGCUACAAAUCACCGUCGCGCAUUGCCUCCGUCACGCACUGCUGCCGUCACGUAAGGUUCAUCUUCUUCAUCGCUUCAGAGCCAUCUCUCUCUCUCUCUCCCCAGCGGCUGCGCGGAAGCGGCGCCGAUGAUGAAGAUCUCGCGGCGCCGAUGACGUAGACCUCGAAGCUUGGCAGAAGUCGCCGGAGCAGAGGAUGAGGCGGCGGUGGAGGAGAUCCGGUCCUCUGAAAUCGGCAUCAUCUACCUCUCUCUUUCACUAUCUCUCUUUCUCACGCAGCAUCUACCUCUCUCUUUCACUACCUCCUUCCUCCCCCAAUUCAGAUCUAUGCAGCUCUGCCCGCCCUAGAAACAGAGUUGAUCCAGCGCCGCCGCCGCGCUUCCCUGCACCGCCUUCGCUUGGUUCCGCUUCGAUGAGAAGAUCUCCGCCAGAAGCUUCAGCGCCAAUUUAAUCAGUCGAAUCUAAGGCAGCGGCGAGGGGUUCUUCUGUCGUCCUUGUUGUCGUGGAGAAAUAAGGAAGUUAAUACAGAGAGAGAAAAUGAGAUUGAAAACUAUAUUUGGUAUUUCUAAUCAUUCAAUUUCAUUUGGAAUUAAAAGAGAGCGGAGCAUUAAUUAUACGAAUCAUUCCCAAUGUAGUAUCGCUUUUUUAUCAUUGUUGAGAUUGUUGGUUCAUAAAUUGAAUGCUG
rnacentral:lncRNA from 1 species